UGUCCUGACAGAUCGCCGGCCCGAGGAGAGCAAAACAAAGGUGUUCCUGCCCUGCACGCCGGUGGCACCGCGGGCUCCCGGAAGCCCUCCCGGCUGCUCCCGUGCCCGCGGGGAGCCGCUGCCCACCCCCGGGGCCCCGCCGAGAGCCGGGCCGGGCAUUCCCCGAGCCCCCCGCCCCGAAGCCAGCCCGUGCCGUGCCGCCGUCGGGGGCCUGGGGCCCCGCGGCUUUGCCGCGCUCCCGCCGCAGCCCGGGGCUCUCCGGCGCCGUCGUCCCGACAUCGCCGGGCUGCGGGGGAGAGCCCGGCAGGAGACCCCUCCGUGACAGCCCCGGGACGGGCCCGGGCUCCGCCGGGAUCUCGCCGAGUUGCGGCAGGAGCCGGCAGGGCCGGGCGGCACCGGCGGGGCGGGGAGGGAGCGACCGGGGCCGGGGCGAGCCCCUCGCCGAGCCCCCCGCCGGCCCGCCCGGGGGCCGAGCGCCGGCAACAAGUGGCGGCGGAGCCCGCUGCCCCCUCCCGCCGCCCGCUGCCCCCUCCCGCCGCCCGCUGCCCCCUCCCGCCGCCCCUGCCCCGCGCCGCCGGGGCGGCAGCGCCGCGACCCCCGGUAACCGGGCGCGGGGCGGGCGGCCGGAGCCACUCCCGCAGGACCCGGUGCCGCGUCCCCGCCCGGCCCAUUGUCCCCCGCCGCCGCCGCGCUCAACAAAGCCGCCCACGAGGAUGCGCCGCGGCUCCGGCCCCGGUGGCCCCGGUGGCCCCGGUGGCCCCGGUGGCCCCGGCCUCCCCCCGCCGCCGCCCCCGCCCCGGUGCCCGGCCCCGGGCUCACCUGCGCCGCGGCGGGACGCGCCGUCCAGCGGGGCCGCGCCGCCGCUCGCCGCCGCCCGCGCCCCGGCCGGCCCCCGACAGCCCCGCGCUCCGGUUACAUGGCGCUUUAACCCUGCCCGUGCUGGGCAGCCCCUCCUCCUCCGCCGCCGCCGCCGCCCCACGCCGCCCGGCGGGGGAGGGGAGGGACGCGGGGCCCGCACCCCCCGGCCCCCGCCGCCGCCCCCGGGCCGCGCAUCCCCCGGGGCCGCGCCGUGCCCCGGAGCCCGGCACCCCCGGGGCUCCGCACCCCCGCCGCGCCUCCGGCGCCCCGCGGGGCCCCGCAUUCCAGCGGUGCCCCGCGCCCCCGGGGGCUCCCCCGCUCCGCACCCGCGGGGCUCCGAGCACCCCCCGCCGCUCCGCAGCGGAGCCCCCGGGGCAGGCGGAGCCCUCGGCCCGGCCGAGCCGCCCCGUGCCCGCGGCUUUCCAUCAGCACUCUGCCCCUGGGCGCGCACCGCGGCGCGGACAGACAAAGCGGCGCAAGUUUUACAAUAGUUCUUCGUUUGUUUGUUCUUCCCCUUCCCCGUACGGAGGCGAGCACUUGCGAGGGCCGUGCUGGGGCCGAGGAAAACAGGCUGCACGUCCCCUGCCCGAGACAAAGCAUCCGGAGCCCACGUGGGGUAUAAUCUUCUCCGCUCGCUUGUUAUUGCCUCUAGGUACAGCAGAAAAGUGUGUAUCAGGAAGAAGAAGGAAUAUUAUUAUCCCGCUGUGA
ensembl:lncRNA